rnacentral:tRNA from 1 species
CUCUAGGUAGCUUAAAGGUAGAGCAUUAUCCUCAUAAGAUAAAAGAUAUUGGUUCGAGUCCAAUCUUAGAGA